ACCCACCCUACCCCACCCCCACCCCACUCGUCUUCUUUAACCUUCCUUGACUUCCCUACCUUCUUGAAUCUCUUCUUCCUCAACAACCAUUUAGGAAGAAGGGAUGGCUGUGAUUUGUGCACGUGGCCCAAUAAUCUUCUCCAUUGAUUGAUCAAGAGGGAAGAUGUGAGGAUGACAAAAGUGGAUUUAUCAAAGGUUUUUGUUUAUGGUUACUAAUAUUGGUAUUGGAUUUCUUAGCUUUCCUUCAUAUAGGAAAUGACCCUUUCCCCCCUCCAUUAGGUGAUAUCAAUAUAUCAUGAAAGAGAAGGGUAGGGAGGGAGACCCUUGAUUACUAAUGAUUGAUUACAUCUUUAAUAUCAUAUAAUGACAAUACAUUAUUAUCAUUUUCUA